rnacentral:rRNA from 1 species
CCAGAGAACUUAGCAGGAGAUGCUUUGGUGCCUUCGGGAACUCUGAGACAGGUGCUGCAUGGCUGUCGUCAGCUCGUGUUGUGAAAUGUUGGGUUAAGUCCCGCAACGAGCGCAACCCUUAUCCUUUGUUGCCAGCGGUCCGGCCGGGAACUCAAAGGAGACUGCCAGUGAUAAACUGGAGGAAGGUGGGGAUGACGUCAAGUCAUCAUGGCCCUUACGAGUAGGGCUACACACGUGCUACAAUGGCGCAUACAAAGAGAAGCGACCUCGCGAGAGCAAGCGGACCUCAUAAAGUGCGUCGUAGUCCGGAUUGGAGUCUGCAACUCGACUCCAUGAAGUCGGAAUCGCUAGUAAUCGUGGAUCAGAAUGCCACGGUGAAUACGUUCCCGGGCCUUGUACACACCGCCCGUCACACCAUGGGAGUGGGUUGCAAAAGAAGUAGGUAGCUUAACCUUCGGGAGGGCGCUUACCACUUUGUGAUUCAUGACUGGGGUGAAGUCGUAACAAGGUAGGCGUAGUGCU